rnacentral:rRNA from 1 species
UACGUAGGGCGCAAGCGUUGUCCGGAAUUAUUGGGCGUAAAGAGCUCGUAGGCGGUCUGUCGCGUCGGCUGUGAAAACCCGAGGCUCAACCUCGGGCCUGCAGUCGAUACGGGCAAACUAGAGUACUGCAGGGGAGACUGGAAUUCCUGGUGUAGCGGUGAAAUGCGCAGAUAUCAGGAGGAACACCGGUGGCGAAGGCGGGUCUCUGGGCAGUAACUGACGCUGAGGAGCGAAAGCGUGGGGAGCGAACAGG